CCUACGGGUGGCAGCAGUGAGGGAUAUUGGUCAAUGGACGAGAGUCUGAACCAGCCAAGUAGCGUGAGGGAUGACUGCCCUAUGGGUUGUAAGCUUCUUUUAUAUGGGAAUAAAAUGUUCCACGUGUGGGAUUUUGUAUGUACCAUAUGAAUAAGGAUCGGCUAACUCCGUGCCAGCAGCCGCGGUAAUACGUAGGAUCCGAGCGUUAUCCGGAUUUAUUGGGUGUAAAGGGAGCGUAGGUGGAUUGUUAAGUCAGUUGUGAAAGUUUGCGGCUCAACCGUAAAAUUGCAGUUGAAACUGGGAGUCUUGAGUACAGUAGAGGUGGGCGGAAUUCGUGGUGUAGCGGUGAAAUGCUUAGAUAUCACGAAGAACUCCGAUUGCGAAGGCAGCUCACUGGACUGCAACUGACACUGAGGCUCGAAAGUGUGGGUAGCAAACAGGAUUAGAUACCCCAGUAGUC
rnacentral:rRNA from 1 species